GCCAUACAAUUAGCAUGGCCCCUACGCAAGGAUGACAUGCAAAUUCAUGAAGCGUUCCAUAUUAAA
ensembl:snRNA U6 U6 spliceosomal RNA